AUGGUGGUUUUGCUCGGGUGUCUGGGCUCGAAGCAGAAGCAUCUCAAGAGAUAUGCCGAUCACUACACAUCCAGGGAGUUCCUGACAUCAGCUAUAACGUCCCCACGUCCAAGAUCGUCAGCUAUAACGUCCAAGAUCGUCAGCUAUAACGUCAGAGGGAGGGCUGAGAAGAAUAAGAAGAUAGUUUUUCAUACUUUCAGUAACACGGGUUGGCUUUGCUAUUUCGUCAUACUGGAGAACUUGCAGCAGCAGGAUCCUUCGGCGGUGGAGAAAAUUAAGGGUUCCGUAGUUGAUUCAACGCCUGUUGCUGGCCCGGAUUCUCAGGUAUGGGCUCUAGGUUUCUCAGCUGCUAUCAUGAAGAAACACAGCGUGGUAACAAAAGGCGCUGCACCAAAUACAAGGUCUGAUGUCGUAGUUGUGGAGUCUCACAAAGAUAUCAGACCAGCAGCUACCGAGGCGGUUCUACUAUCUGCACUGGAAAAGUUUUUUGAUCUUGUUCUGAACUAUCCAGCCGUAAAUAGGAGGCUGUCUGGUGUUAUGGAGCUUCUGUCCUCGAACCAACCCAACUGCCCUCAGCUGUACAUAUACAGCUCUGCCGAUAGGGUUGUCCCAGCAAAGUCAGUGGAGUCAUUUUUGGAGAGGCAACGAAAAGCAGGGUGUGAGGUGAGGUCGUGUGACUUUGUGUCGUCCCCUCAUGUCGACCAUUACCGCAGCAAUCCGGGGCUGUACACCUCUCAGCUGACCAACUUCUUGGAGGACUGCGUGCUGGCCCGACGCGAGGACUCCUCGUCGCCGUCACCGUCUGCAUAG
rnacentral:rRNA from 1 species